rnacentral:rRNA from 1 species
GGAGUUAGCCGGUGCUUCUUCUGUGAGUGAUGUCCUUCCUGCCGGCUAUUAACCCGCAGGCCUUCUUCCUCACUGAAAGUGCUUUACAACCCGAAGGCCUUCUUCACACACGCGGCAUGGCUGGAUCAGGGUUGCCCCCAUUGUCCAAUAUUCCCCACUGCUGCCUCCCGUAGGAGUCUGGGCCGUGUCUCAGUCCCAGUGUGGCUGAUCAUCCUCUCAGACCAGCUACGGAUCGUCGCCUUGGUGAGCCGUUACCUCACCAACCAGCUAAUCCGACAUAGGCUCAUCCGAUAGCGCGAGGCCCGAAGGUCCCCCGCUUUCCCCCGUAGGGCGUAUGCGGUAUUAGCCUGGGUUUCCCCAGGUUAUCCCCCACUACCGGGCAGAUUCCUAUGCAUUACUCACCCGUCCGCCGCUCGCCACCAGGGAGCAAGCUCCCCGUGCUGCCGCUCGACUUGCAUGUGUUAGGCUCGCCGCCACGCGUCAUCUGAGCAUAAUACAACUACUGA